rnacentral:rRNA from 1 species
AGAGUUUGAUCCUGGCUCAGAACGAACGCUGGCGGCAGGCUUAACACAUGCAAGUCGAACGGGCAUAGCAAUAUGUCAGUGGCAGACGGGUGAGUAACACGUGGGAACCUUCCUAGAGGUACGGAACAACGCAGGGAAACUUGCGCUAAUACCGUAUACGCUCUUGCGAGGAAAGAUUUAUCGCCUUUAGACGGGCCCGCGUAGGAUUAGGUAGUUGGUGAGGUAACGGCUCACCAAGCCUACGAUCCUUAGCUGAUCUGAGAGGAUGAUCAGCCACACUGGGACUGAGACACGGCCCAGACUCCUACGGGAGGCAGCAGUGGGGAAUAUUGGACAAUGGGCGCAAGCCUGACCCAGCCAUGCCGCGUGAGUGAAGAAGGCCUUCGGGUUGUAAAGCUCUUUUACCAGGGACGAUAAUGACGGUACCUGGAGAAUAAGCCCCGGCAAACUUCGUGCCAGCAGCCGCGGUAAUACGAAGGGGGCUAGCGUUGUUCGGAAUUACUGGGCGUAAAGCGCACGUAGGCUGACAUUUAAGUGAGAGGUGAAAUCCCAAGGCUCAACCUUGGAACUGCCUUUCAUACU